GACGAACGCUGGCGGCGUGCUUAACACAUGCAAGUCGAGCGGUAAGGCCCUUUCGGGGGUACACGAGCGGCGAACGGGUGAGUAACACGUGGGUGACCUGCCCUCAGCUCUGGGAUAAGCCUGGGAAACUGGGUCUAAUACUGGAUAUGACUCCACGGUGCAUGUCGUGGGGUGGAAAGCCUUGUGCGGCUGAGGAUGGGCCCGCGGCCUAUCAGCUUGUUGGUGGGGGAUGGCCUACCAAGGCGACGACGGGUAGCCGGCCUGAGAGGGCGACCGGCCACACUGGGACUGAGACACGGCCCAGACUCCUACGGGAGGCAGCAGUGGGGAAUCUUGCGCAAUGGGCGAAAGCCUGACGCAGCGACGCCGCGUGAGGGAUGACGGCCUCGGUGU
rnacentral:rRNA from 1 species